rnacentral:rRNA from 1 species
AGGACGAACGCUGGCGGCGUGCUUAACACAUGCAAGUCGAGCGACAGCACUCUUCGGGGUGUAUGGAGCGGCGAACGGGUGAGUAACACGUGGGCAACCUGCCCUCAGCUCUGGGAUAACUCCGGGAAACCGGGGCUAAUACCGGAUAUGACCUUCGACCUCAUGGUUGUUGGUGGAAAGUUUUUCGGCUGGGGAUGGGCCCGCGGCCUAUCAGCUUGUUGGUGGGGUAAUGGCCUACCAAGGCGACGACGGGUAGCCGGCCUGAGAGGGCGACCGGCCACACUGGGACUGAGACACGGCCCAGACUCCUACGGGAGGCAGCAGUGGGAAUAUUGCGCAAUGGGCGAAAGCCUGACGCAGCGACGCCGCGUGGAGGGAUGAAGGCCUUCGGUUCGUAAACCUCUUUCAGCGAGGACGAAGCGCAAGUGACGGUACCUGCAGAAGAAGACACCGGACCAACCUACGUAGCC